rnacentral:rRNA from 11 species
GAGUAAUGUCUGGGAAACUGCCUGAUGGAGGGGGAUAACUACUGGAAACGGUGGCUAAUACCGCAUAACGUCGCAAGACCAAAGAGGGGGACCUUCGGGCCUCUUGCCAUCAGAUGUGCCCAGAUGGGAUUAGCUAGUUGGUGAGGUAACGGCUCACCAAGGCGACGAUCCCUAGCUGGUCUGAGAGGAUGACCAGCCACACUGGAACUGAGACACGGUCCAGACUCCUACGGGAGGCAGCAGUGGGGAAUAUUGCACAAUGGGCGCAAGCCUGAUGCAGCCAUGCCGCGUGUAUGAAGAAGGCCUUCGGGUUGUAAAGUACUUUCAGCGGGGAGG